rnacentral:snRNA from 1 species
UAGCAUGGCCCCUGCGCAAGGAUGACACACAAAUUUGUGAAACGUUCCAUAUUUUU